rnacentral:rRNA from 1 species
UGUAAGCGUAUACCAAAGUUGUUGCAGUUAAAACGCUCGUAGUCGGAUUUUGGCGGUUCCGGAAGUGUGCCGCGUCGUGCGGCCGCUUUGCAGGGCCUGCUUUUGUGGGUGUGCGUCAGAUGAGGGCUGUUAAUUCGGUAACGUCUGUACGCAACCACUUUUUACUGUGAGAAAAUCAGAGUGCUCAAAGCAGGCAUUUGCCGUGAAUGUAUUAGCAUGGAAUAAUAGAAUAGGACUUAGUCUUAUUUUGUUGGUUUGUUAGGACCGAGUAAUGAUUAAGAGGGACAGUUGGGGGCAUUUGUAUUUCGGCGCUAGAGGUGAAAUUCUUAGAUUGCCGAAAGACAAACUGCUGCGAAAGCGUCUGCCAAGGAUGUUUUCAUUGA